GUGGGGAAUAUUGGUCAAUGGGGGAAACCCUGAACCAGCAACGCCGCGUGAAGGAAGAAGGCUUUCGGGUUGUAAACUUCUUUGACAGGGGACGAAACAAAUGACGGUACCCUGAAAACAAGCCACGGCUAACUACGUGCCAGCAGCCGCGGUAAUACGUAGGUGGCAAGCGUUGUCCGGAUUUACUGGGUGUAAAGGGCGUGUAGGCGGGACGGUAAGUCAGAUGUGAAAUGUAGGGGCUCAACACCUGAACUGCAAUUGAAACUAUCGUUCUUGAGUGAUGGAGAGGCAGGCGGAAGUCCGUGUGUAGCGGUGAAAUGCGUAGAUAUACGGAGGAACACCAGUGGCGAAGGCGGCCUGCUGGACAUUAACUGACGCUGAGGCGCGAAAGCGUGGGGAGCAAACAGGAUUAGAUACCCUUGUAGUCC
rnacentral:rRNA from 1 species